UGGGGAAUCUUGGACAAUGGGGGCAACCCUGAUCCAGCCAUGCCGCGUGAGUGAUGAAGGCCUUAGGGUCGUAAAGCUCUUUCGCCUGUGAAGAUAAUGACGGUAGCAGGUAAAGAAACCCCGGCUAACUCCGUGCCAGCAGCCGCGGUAAUACGGAGGGGGUUAGCGUUGUUCGGAAUUACUGGGCGUAAAGCGCACGUAGGCGGACCAGAAAGUUGGGGGUGAAAUCCCGGGGGCUCAACCCCGGAACUGCCUCCAAAACUAUUGGUCUAGAGUUCGAGAGAGGUGAGUGGAAUUCCAAGUGUAGAGGUGAAAUUCGUAGAUAUUUGGAGGAACACCAGUGGCGAAGGCGGCUCACUGGCUCGAUACUGACGCUGAGGUGCGAAAGUGUGGGGAGCAAACAGGAUUAGAUACCCUGGUAGUCCACGCCGUAAAACGAUGUCUGCUAGUCGUUGGGGGGCGUAGCCCUUCAGUGACGCCG
rnacentral:rRNA from 1 species